rnacentral:rRNA from 1 species
GUGGGGAAUAUUGGACAAUGGGCGAAAGCCUGAUCCAGCCAUGCCGCGUGUGUGAAGAAGGUCUUCGGAUUGUAAAGCACUUUAAGUUGGGAGGAAGGGCAGUAAGCUAAUACCUUGCUGUUUUGACGUUACCGACAGAAUAAGCACCGGCUAACUCUGUGCCAGCAGCCGCGGUAAUACAGAGGGUGCAAGCGUUAAUCGGAAUUACUGGGCGUAAAGCGCGCGUAGGUGGUUCGUUAAGUUGGAUGUGAAAGCCCCGGGCUCAACCUGGGAACUGCAUCCAAAAAUGGCGAGCUAGAGUACGGUAGAGGGUGGAGGAAUUUCCUGUGUAGCGGUGAAAUGCGUAGAUAUAGGAAGGAACACCAGUGGCGAAGGCGACCACCUGGACUGAUACUGACACUGAGGUGCGAAAGCGUGGGGAGCAAACAGGAUUAGAUACCCCGGUAGUCC